rnacentral:lncRNA from 1 species
AAAUAGAAAGCUUUAUAAAUACAAAGCAAAAUUACAUUCUCCCUUCGCACAGACUUGCUGAUGGUACCACCCAAGGCAAAUGCACAGUGUACUUUGGGCAGCCUUGACAAAGAAACAUACCGAGGGAAAAACAGAUAGAUUCCAUCCAGCCCAAAGUCCUGUUCCAAGGAGGUUCAUGCACACUGAGGAGGAUUUAGAAGGACAUUUCUGCAGAACAGCCUCCCCCACAACCACAUCAGUGUAGGUCAUCACCCCCACUUUUCAGGAAGAUUGAAACUUCAGAAGACCCGAGUUUCCUGGAGGAGGUACAAACUGGAGGCCCACUCUGUACAGCUGUGAGGCAAACCUGCAGCUGGACCAGGGCUGCUCACUCAGCCACAGUGACUCACAUCUCCCGUGGAGCCUGCAGUGACUCAUCUCUCAGGCAUGCUGCAGUAGUCUAUCCCUGGGCAGCGUCUGGGUAAUAUGACCCACAGGCAUAAGUAUUUCACCCUGACCGCCAGAGCCACAAGUUUGUUUGGGCAACAGUACUACUCAGCUAGGAAUCCUCCUGCUGCCUUGCGGUGUUACAGCUUCGCGAGAUGUCCAGCCUGCUCUUGAUCUUGUUCCUGUUCCUACCCCAGCCUUGUUCCAGGCUGCUUCAGCCUGGUCCACACCAUAUUUUGACAUUGCUCCAGCCUUGCUCCUGACAUGCUUGAGCCCUGCAACCGCCUCCUGACCUACACACCUUUGCACUGACUCCAACCGGCUUCGACCUUUAACCUGCAUCCGGACUCUGACUACCAUCCUAAUUUGGCUUGUCUACAGACUCUGACCCCAGUUCUGACCCAUGACCUGUCACUGGAACCUUGUUUCAGCACUGCCCUUGAGCCAGUCCUGACUCUAUAUCCGGCUUCAAUUCAUGUCCACUGCUAGACUAUAAUAUAAAAUUGAUUGCUGGGAGAAAUCUAUCUGUUUUCCUGGUAGAAUAUAAGAACAGUCAAACAUGCAGCAAUUUACUGUACAAGCUACAUUAUGGACCCACAUGUGGAAAGUCUUUAUACUUUUUUCUUUGAUCAUAAUCCAACUUCAGUCACACAGCAAACAUGACUCAAUAUGCAGAAAAAGCUUCUAAUACUUCUUAUAACAUACAACAGAUUAUACAACCAGCUUUACCUCAAAUGGUUUAGAAGUUGCCUAGCUACAGGACUGAAAUGGCUGAGGAACUCCCUCCCAAAGUGACAGCAAAUGAAUGUGCGGUACCC